CUACGGGCUGCUCCAGUGAGGAAUAUUGCACAAUGGGGGGAACCCUGAUGCAGCAACGCCGCGUGGAGGAUGACGCAUUUCGGUGUGUAAACUCCUUUUAUAUGUCAAGAAAAUGACGGUAGCAUAUGAAUAAGCACCGGCUAACUCCGUGCCAGCAGCCGCGGUAAUACGGAGGGGUGCAAGCGUUACUCGGAAUCACUGGGCGUAAAGGACGCGUAGGCGGGUUGGAAAGUCAGGUGUGAAAUCCUACAGCUUAACUGUAGAACUGCACUUGAAACUUCUAAUCUAGAGUAUGGGAGGGGGAGAUGGAAUUAGUGGUGUAGGGGUAAAAUCCGUAGAUAUCACUAGGAAUACCUAAAGCGAAGGCGAUCUCCUGGAACAUUACUGACGCUAAGGCGUGAAAGCGUGGGGAGCAAACAGGAUUAGAUACCCGGGUAGUC
rnacentral:rRNA from 1 species